rnacentral:rRNA from 1 species
GAUGAACGCUGGCGGCGUGCCUAAUACAUGCCAGUCGAGCGAACAGACGAGGAGCUUGCUCCUCUGACGUUAGCGGCGGACGGGUGAGUAACACGUGGAUAACCUACCUAUAAGACUGGGAUAACUUCGGGAAACCGGAGCUAAUACCGGAUAAUAUAUUGAACCGCAUGGUUCAAUAGUGAAAGACGGUUUUGCUGUCACUUAUAGAUGGAUCCGCGCCGCAUUAGCUAGUUGGUAAGGUAACGGCUUACCAAGGCAACGAUGCGUAGCCGACCUGAGAGGGUGAUUGGCCACACUGGAACUGAGACACGGUCCAGACUCCUACGGGAGGCAGCAGUAGGGAAUCUUCCGCAAUGGGCGAAAGCUUGACGGAGCAACGCCGCGUGAGUGAUGAAGGUCUUCGGAUCGUAAAACUCUGUUAUUAGGGAAGAACAAAUGUGUAAGUAACUAUGCACGUCUUGACGGUACCUAAUCAGAAAGCCACGGCUAACUACGU